UGAACGCGUAAGUAGAAUCGGUCCGAGUGCUCUAAAUGGCUCGGCCGGAUCGCGAUCCACGUCUGUGUGUGCGAUGCAAAACAUUCAACGACGCAAGCGUUAUCUUGGAUCAUAAAUCUUCAGAAUAGAAGAACGCAGAUCGUGCAUUCCGAAUUGCAAAAAUCAUUACAAUAAAACAAUUAAAAUUAAAAUAUCAAUCAAAGAUUUUAUUGUUAGAUAAUAAUCUGUUUCAAAAGAAAAUAUUUCCGUGAGAAGAAAUAAUUUUCAAAAGGGAUGACAGAUAAAAUAACUAACCGUAGAAAACGUGUUUAUCUCAAAUAAAUCAAUAUUGUACGUGUUAAAACAAGUAUAAAAAUCCAACAUGAUAAAACAAUAUGCAAAAUAGAAUGAGAGUUCAACUGAGAACUCGCGGUAAUUCUGUGAAUCACAAAAUGAUUAUGAGAUACCCGUCGCUGAACAACUCAGCACGGCGACUGCCAUAUGAAAUCUUCAGGAAAAAGAAAGUAGAAAUCUACAUAUAUGUAUAUGUAUCAACAUUCCAUUGAGAGCGAUUCGAUUUCAGAUAGGACUCAAUUGCUAUUUUGCAUCAAGAAAUAUUGAUGAGCUCUUUAAAUUUUUUAAAAAAUCAUCUAUGAUUAAAUUAAUCAUCUACAAUAAAGUUAAUGGAUCAUGAUUUAUAAUUAUCAUUCAUAAUUCUUAAAUAGAAAAUACGUAAAAAAAAGAAUUUAGAGUGAAAGCGACAACGUCAUAUGUCGCAACUUACAUAUAUUUUAAGGAAUAUUUUAUCAGGGUCAUGAAUUUCAAGAAUUUAAUUCAAUUAUCAAGAAUUAUAUUAAUUCAAUCUAUUUAUUUUAAUUCAUCUAUUUUAAAAAAUAACCAUAUUGAUUAAUAUUUAAUUAACAAAAUAUCCUGUGUAUCCAAUAAAUUGUAAAAUCCAUAAUUUCGAUACAAAUUCUGCAAAAGAUUUAUAGGACAUUGCUAAUUUCGUCUCGAACACGUGGUAUUCGCGUAACAUUAAAUUUGUUAACACAAGGUGAGAAUGUUUUCCAAAUUGAUUAUCGAAUAAAUACAAGUUGUGUCAGUUCCCGUUUUACUCAUAUAUUAAUCUCGAUGAUAUUCAUUUUAUAUUAUGAAUUAUUAAAAUUUUAAUUUCUCAAAACUAUUUGUACUAUUAUUAUUAUAUCUUUAUUGAAAUAAAGAAGGUAUGUAACAUAGAUAUUUACUA